rnacentral:rRNA from 1 species
CCAGACUCCUACGGGAGGCAGCAGUGGGGAAUAUUGCGCAAUGGGGGAAACCCUGAUGCAGCGACGCCGCGUGAGUGAAGAAGUAUUUCGGUAUGUAAAGCUCUAUCAGCAGGGAAGAAAAAAGACGGUACCUGACUAAGAAGCCCCGGCUAACUACGUGCCAGCAGCCGCGGUAAUACGUAGGGGGCAAGCGUUAUCCGGAUUCACUGGGUGUAAAGGGAGCGUAGACGGCCAAGCAAGCCAGGGGUGAAAGCCCGGGGCCCAACCCCGGGACUGCCCUUGGAACUGCAUGGCUGGAGUGCGGGAGGGGCAGGCGGAAUUCCUGGUGUAGCGGUGAAAUGCGUAGAUAUCAGGAGGAACACCGGCGGCGAAGGCGGCCUGCUGGACCGCGACUGACGUUGAGGCCCGAAAGCGUGGGGAGCAAACAGGAUUAGAUACCCCAGUAAU